GGCGUAAGCGCGCGCAGGUGGUUUCUUAAGUCUGAUGUGAAAGCCCACGGCUCAACCGUGGAGGGGCAUUGGAAACUGGGAGACUUGAGUGCAGAAGAGGAAGGUGGAAUUCCAUGUGUAGCGGUGAAAUGCGUAGAGAUAUGGAGGAACACCAGUGGCGAAGGCGACUUUCUGGUCUGUAACUGACACUGAGGCGCGAAAGCGUGGGGAGCAAACAGGAUUAGAUACCCUGGUAGUCCACGCCGUAAACGAUGACUGCUAAGUGUUAGAGGGUUUCCGCCCUUUAUGGCUGAACUUAACGCAUUAAGCACUCCGCCGGGGGAGUACGGCCGCAAGGCUGAAACUCAAAGGAAUUGACGGGGGCCCGCACAAGCGGGGGAGCAGGUGGUUUAAUUCAAACCAACGCGAAAAACCUUACCAGGUCUUGACAUCCUAUGAAUUUCCUAAAAAU
rnacentral:rRNA from 1 species